rnacentral:lncRNA from 1 species
CAAAGAAACGCAAGUGCAGCCAUAAACUCUGUUUACAGCAUUCCGGGGCCUCAGGGAAGCUCAGAUGGAUGAAUCAUGCACCAGCGCUGACCACGAGGCCCUCAGCCCGAAGGAUGGCUGAGGACCACGGAGGCGCCGGCCCGGCCCCGGGGAGCAGUCUCUCUUCCUGGCCAGGAUUCCGGCUUCCUUGUUGUUCUAGGUACUAGAAAUACAGGGAUCUUCCUGACCCCACGGAGCCUUCACGUGGAGGGCAGAGACAAACAAUAAAACUGUGAACAAAUACAUGAGAUAACUGCAGUGUCCUGAGAAAAAUGAAACCAGCAACAGGGUAGAGGAGGAGGGGGUAUCUGCGAGGAGACCUAAAUGAUGACAAGGAUCAGCCGUGGAAAGAUCAGAGGAGUGGAUUCCAGGCAGUGGGAACAGCAUGUGCAAAGGGCCAGUGCGUUGGAGGAAACGGGAGGCAGGUGUGGCUGGCGCAUGGAGGGCAAUGGGAAAAGACGAAGGUGAAUGAGGGUGGAGAGAAGCAGGCCCAGGCCCCUGGGGUCUGCUGGGUCCCAGGAAG